rnacentral:ncRNA from 1 species
AGUUUUGGUCCUAAACUUGCCAUUGUUUUUUAUCAAAAUUAUACAUGCAAGCCUCCACACACCAGUGAGAAUGCCCACAUAUUCCUAAACAGAACACCGGAGCAGGUAUCAGGAUACAACACCAAUUUUAGCCAAAGACACCUUGCAUAAUGCCACACCCACACGGGCUUUCAGCAGUAAUAGACAUUAAAACAUGAGCGAAAGCUCGACUUAAUUAUGAUCAAAAUGGUCGGUAAAUUUCGUGCCAGCCACCGCGGUUAUACGAAAGACCAAAAACAAUAGCCCACGGCGUAAAGCGUGACUAGAGACAAAUCCCUAUUAAAGGGGCACAGCAACCAAGUUGUAAAACACUACUGCCCGCUAGAACCACAACGAAACUGCCUUUAAACCACUUAACCUCACGAAAGCUAAGGAACAAACUGGGAUUAGAUACCCCACUAUGCUUAGCCCUAAACACAGAUAGUAUAAACACAACACUAUCCGCCAGAGAACUACAAGCGAAAAGCUAGAAACUCUAAGGACUUGGCGGUGCUUCAAAUCAACCUAGAGGAGCCUGUCCUAUAAUCGAUACCCCACGUUUAACCUUACCCCUCCUAGCCAAUCAGCCUAUAUACCGCCGUCGCCAGCCCACCCUAUGAAAGAAACAAAGUGGGCAAGAAAGUUUUCAACUAACACGUCAGGUCAAGGUGUAGCACACGGAGCGGAAGAGAUGGGCUACAUUUCUUCAAAGAAUAAAACACGAAUAAUGUGCUGAAACACACACUUGAAGGCGGAUUUAGUAGUAAGAUAAAUAAGAACAACUAUCUUAAACCUGCCCUGAAGCGCGCACACACCGCCCGUCACCCUCAUCACAUGUAACUAAGUACAAAAC